GAUGAACGCUGGCGGCGUGCCUAAUACAUGCAAGUCGAGCGAACGGACGAGAAGCUUGCUUUUCUGAUGUUAGCGGCGGACGGGUGAGUAACACGUGGAUAACCUACCUAUAAGACUGGGAUAACUUCGGGAAACCGGAGCUAAUACCGGAUAAUAUUUUGAACCGCAUGGUUCAAAAGUGAAAGACGGUCUUGCUGUCACUUAUAGAUGGAUCCGCGCUGCAUUAGCUAGUUGGUAAGGUAACGGCUUACCAAGGCAACGAUGCAUAGCCGACCUGAGAGGGUGAUCGGCCACACUGGAACUGAGACACGGUCCAGACUCCUGCGGGAGGCAGCAGUAGGGAAUCGUCCGCAAUGGGCGAAAGCCUGACGGAGCAACGCCGCGUGAGUGAUGAAGGUCUUCGGAUCGUAAAACUCUGUUAUGAGGGAAGAACAUAUGUGUAAGUAACUGUGCACAUCUUGACGGUACCGAAUCAGAAAGCCACGGCUAACUACGUG
rnacentral:rRNA from 1 species